rnacentral:sRNA from 1 species
GCUGGGCAUGGUGGCGCAUGCCUGUAAUCCCAGUGGCUCAGGAGGCUGAGACAGGAGGAUCCUGAGUUCAAAGCCAACCUCAGCAAAAGCGAGGCGCUAAGCAACUCAGUGAGACCCCGUCUCUA